AAUUUUUUAUUUUAAUUUUAGAAUUUUUAAUUUCAUAUUAAUAGGUAAAAAAAAUUG
rnacentral:tRNA from 1 species